AUACAAUGUGUGUGUGCAUGUGCACACACACUCUCAGGCAAAAGCACCCACAUAUCUUCAAUCCUCAGGAAAUUUCUGAAUACUUAGAGACCUGUAAGUACUAAGGACCACCGACCCAUCCCCUUACUUAGGCGAAUUAAAAUUAUUACAAGUUUUGAGGGUUUUUUUUUUGGGGGGGGGGGUUCAUUGUAACCCUAGCUAUCCUGGAAUUCAACCUGUAGACCAGGUUGUCUUCAAACUCUGGGAUCUGCCUGCCUCAGUCUCCAAAUGCUGCUAUUAAAGGUGUGCAGCACCACUUCCUGACUUGCACUGAGUGGCAUUUAGGGUGAAAUAACCCCAAGAACAGCAGCCACUAUGAGCUGGGGAUGCUGGUUAAGGAGAUAUAAUUCUUACUGUUAGAGACUUUACAGGUAAGACGUCUGAGUUAAGGUGGAGGUCUCUGGGCUUAGUGGGUUCCCUGACUGUAACAAGUUAGCGAAGGUCUAGAUACAAUGUGAGAUGUGGUCUCUGGAAGAGCAGAGCCCAAGCUCUGUUCAUGGCAAAGAUGCCAUCUUGUACCUCCACGGGCAUACUUUGCUGAGAGAAGUACCUGGGGGACCCUAGUACCCCUGAGCCACAGUGGGAUGUCUUAGGAGCCUCAGACAUUCUCUUCAGGAGAGCUCAGCCCAGUGACCUCAUCAUCCCUGGAACAAAUUCUGUCCAGCUCCAUGCCGCCUCUUUCCCUCCUUUAAUUAAAGGGGAUCCCCCACGCCUCAAUCCCUCCACCUCCUUAGGACUCUCUGCAGCCUAAGGCUGAACAGCUGGAGGCUGGGCCUGAACACUCAGCCCCUCAGUGUCCUUUGAAAGCUUGGUGGAGGCUGAUUGAUUCUUAGACUCUCCUAGACCGGCUGAGUCGGUAACCCUGGGCAAAUCAAGGACUCUACAUGAUCCAUUGCCCAUCAACUUUAAGACCCACUGCACUAAGUCGGAGAAAGAAAAAUUAUUAGGGAGGCUCCUUUCAGAAUAAGUGGAAGGUUUAGGUGAAUAUCCUAUCUACAGGCCUGGAUCUCAGUACUGGGGAGGUGGAACCAGGACCAUCAGCGUCAACCUCAGCUACAUAGCAAGUUUGAGCUCUGGUGGCUUAAAAUGACAUCGAACUGGAUAGACACUUGGGGAUGAGCGUGAACAACUGACCUCCUGCCUCCACCUCUCAAAUGCUGGAACUACAGGGAUGUAAUACCAUGUACGGCUGCCAUGUUUACCUUAGAGAGCCUGAGUGGCGAAGGCUCUGUUCUCCAUUAUAGUAUAAAGUCAUCAUUUUCUUUAAG
ensembl:lncRNA